AGAAUUGUGUCGGAAAGAGUCGGGGGGGGGCAAAAAUAAAAAAAUAGCGUAGGGUGCCAUCAACCGGGCAACUUCCCCCCCCCCCGUAACAUAGUUUUAUUACCUGUUGAUCCAUCAUUGUUCCACUUCCUGUAGCAGGGUGACUACGCUGUUUGUCCAUAGCGAAAUCACACAGCGGCGCUCUUAGGUACAUCAUAUACAUUGCAAUCUGACCCCGCAACCUUUAUACAGCCAACCAAAGAUUUACCAAAACUAUGAGGACCUUCCUAGACCAUUCAAUCAGCCAGGUCCCUGAUGAUAACCCGAAAUCUCCUUUUUUGGACCAAGCACUAUACAACCUCUUCUAGGGUUAUCAUCAGGGGUCUGGCUGAUUGGAAAGUCUAGGUAGGUCCUGGCUGAUUGGAAAGUCUAGGUAGGUCCUGGAUGAUUGGAAAGUCUAGGUAGGUCCUGGCAUGAUUGGAAAGUCUAGGUAGGUCCUGGCUGAUUGAAUAGUCUAGGUAGGUCCUGGCUGAUUGGAAAGUCUAGGUAGGUCCUGGCUGAUUGGAAAGUCUAGGUAGGUCCUGGCUGAUUGGAAAGUCUAGGUAGGUCCUGGCUAAUUUGAAAGUCUAGGUAGGUCCUGGCUGAUUGAAUAGUCUAGGUAGGUCCUGGCUGAUUGAAUAGUUUAGGUAGGCCCUGGCUGAUUAGAAAGUCUAGGUAGGUCCUGGCUGAUUGGAAAGUCUAGGUAGGUCCUGGCUAAUUGGAAAGUCUAGGUAGGUCCUGGCUGAUUGAAUAGUCUAGGUAGGUCCUGGCUGAUUGAAUAGUUUAGGUAGGCCCUGGCUGAUUAGAAAGUCUAGGUAGGUCCUGGCUGAUUGGAAAGUCUAGGUAGGUCCUGGCUAAUUGGAAAGUCUAGGAAGGUCCUGGCUGAUUGAAUAGUCUAGGUAGGUCCUGGCUGAUUGAAUAGUUUAGGUAGGCCCUGGCUGAUUAGAAAGUCUAGGUAGGUCCUGGCUGAUUGGAAAGUCUAGGUAGGUCCUGGCUGAUUGAAUAGUUUAGGUAGGCCCUGGCUGAUUAGAAAGUCUAGGUAGGUCCUGGCUGAUUGGAAAGUCUAGGUAGGUCCUGGCUGAUUGGAAAGUCUAGGUAGGUCCUGGCUGAUUGGAAAGUCUAGGUAGGUCCUGGCUAAUUGGAAAGUCUAGGUAGGUCCUGGCUGAUUGAAUAGUCUAGGUAGGUCCUGGCUGAUUGAAUAGUUUAGGUAGGCCCUGGCUGAUUAGAAAGUCUAGGUAGGUCCUGGCUGAUUGGAAAGUCUAGGUAGGUCCUGGCUGAUUGGAAAGUCUAGGUAGGUCCUGGCUGAUUGGAAAGCUAAGAUUUACCACAAGCUUGGAGGACCUUCCUAGACCAAUCAAUCAGCCAGGUCCCUGAUGAUAACCCUAAAUCUCCUUCUUUGGACCAAGCACUAUAAAAUCUCUUCUAGGUUUAUCAUCAGGAGUCUGGCUGAUUGGAAAGUCUAGGUAGGUCCUGGCUGAUUGGAUAGUCUAGGUAGGUCCUGGCUGAUUGGAUAGUCUAGGUAGGUCCUGGCUGAUUGGAAAGUCUAGGUAGGUCCUGGCUGAUUGGAUAGUCUAGGUAGGUCCUGGCUGAUUGGAAAGUCUAGAUAGGUCCUGGUGAUUGGAAAGUCUAGGUAGGUCCUGGCUGAUUGUAAAGUCUAGGUAGGUCCUGGCUGAUUGGAAAGUCUAGGUAGGUCCUGGCUGAUUGGAAAGCUAAUGUAGGUCCUGGCUGAUUGGAAAGUCUAGGUAGGUCCUGGCUGAUUGGAUAGUCUAGGUAGGUCCUGGCUGAUUAGAAAGUCUAGGUAGGUCCUGGUGAUUGGAAAGUCUAGGUAGGUCCUGGCUGAUUGGAAAGUCUAGGUAGGUCCUGGCUGAUUGGAAAGUCUAGGUAGGUCCUGGCUGAUUGGAAAGCUAAGGUAGGUCCUGGCUGAUUGGAUAGUCUAGGUAGGUCCUGGCUGAUUGGAAAGUCUAGGUAGGUCCUGGCUGAUUGGAUAGUCUAGGUAGGUCCUGGCUGAUUGGAAAGUCUAGGUAGGUCCUGGCUGAUUGGAUAGUCUAGGUAGGUCCUGGCUGAUUGGAAAGUUUAGGUAGGUCCUGGCUGAUUGGAAAGCUAAGGUAGGUCCUGGCUGAUUGGAUAGUCUAGGUAGGUCCUCACUGAUUGGAAAGUCUAGGUAGGUCCUGGUGAUUGGAAAGUCUAGGUAGUCAUCGUUUUGGUAAAUAUAUGGUUGGCUUUAUAUAUAUUGUACGGUCAGAUGAUAAUGCAUAUGGUGACCCUUAAGGUUUGACCUCAUAUUAUAUAGUUUUGGUAAAUCUCAAGACAAAAACCUGCAGAAAAUCUAAUAGUGUGUAUGAGGGCCAACAAAAACCCAAUUUAAGUCCUGGGACGGAGGCGCCGGACUGACAACUGGAGAGCCGUGACUUAUCCACAUCCGUUCCUGGAUGAUUCCGUAAUUAAUUCCUAAAAUAACUCUGACUCCUCGUCAACAUCGUAUACCCAGAAUUUAUGGAGAGGACCGUGAACACAGUGUGCUUAUAGCGUUAUAUGUAAUAUAUUUAAAAUGUAUCAUCCCAACAACAACAAAAAUGUAUUAAAAUUGUAUAUAAUAACUAAUGUUAUUACAGAGAUUAAUCAAAUAUUCAUUAUAAUAAAUAAAAAGAAAAAAUACUUA